UACGGAGGGUGCAAGCGUUAUCCGGAUUCACUGGGUUUAAAGGGUGCGUAGGAGGGCAGGUAAGUCAGUGGUGAAAUCUUCGAGCUUAACUCGGAACUGCCGUUGAUAACUAUCUGUCUUGAAUCCCGUGGAGAUGAGCGGAAUAUGUCAUGUAGGCGGUGAAAUGCUUAGAGUAUGAACAUAGAACACCAAAUUGCGAAGGCAGCUCCGUUACUACGGAAGAUUGACUUCUGAGGCACGAAAGCGUGGGGGAUCAAACAGG
rnacentral:rRNA from 1 species